GAUCCCAUCAGAACUCCGAAGUUAAGCGUGCUUGGGCGAGAGUAGUACUAGGAUGGGUGACCUCCUGGGAAGUCCUCGUGUUGCAUCCC
rnacentral:rRNA from 1 species